rnacentral:rRNA from 1 species
ACAGACACCAAAUCAGAGUCUGCUGGGCGAAUUUACAGUUCUGUAAAAGGAAGAUCACUCGGAAGCUAAGUGGGGUCGGGCCUGGUCAGUACCUGGAUGGGAGAGCACCUAGGAAGACCAGGUGCUGUA